CCUGGAAGGGGAAGGGUCAACAGUUUCCUCCCAGGACCUGAACAACUUCUGAUGCCUCCGACAACUCAAGUACCCCUUAAUGACCUCCAGCGACGGAAAAGGAUUACGAUUAUGGAUAAAGCGUCAUGCUGCUUAUGCUUUUUGCUUUGUUCUGCUGAACUUCCAGAUUUUUUUUUUUUUUGUAUUUGCGGCUUUUUG